UACGUAGGGGGCGAGCGUUGUCCGGAUUUAUUGGGCGUAAAGAGCUCGUAGGCGGCUCAGUAAGUCGGGUGUGAAAACUCCAGGCUCAACCUGGAGACGUCACCUGAUACUGCUGUGGCUAGAGUCCGGUAGGGGAGCAUGGAAUUCCUGGUGUAGCGGUGAAAUGCGCAGAUAUCAGGAGGAACACCAGUGGCGAAGGCAGCUCGCUGGGACGUGACUGACGCUGAGACGCGAAAGCGUGGGGAGCAAACAGG
rnacentral:rRNA from 1 species